AGCCCCGGAGCCUUUUAGGGCUCUUCUUUAAACUUGCAUUUUAAUGUGAAACACCCCAGGACUG
rnacentral:tRNA from 1 species